rnacentral:lncRNA from 1 species
UGAAACCAUGGCUUCCCUCCUUGGCAUCAGGAGAGGAAUAUUGAAAAGGAAACCCUUAUCACUGUGGCCUGAAGGUAUAUUAACGCUCCAUCACUGUGACGAAACUAUGCGAGAAGAGGAACGGUUUCUUUGGGAUCAUGGUUUUCUGAGGUUCUUUGCAUGGCCACCUAGCCUGCCUGCUUUUAGGCCUGAAGUGUGGGGUAGGUAGGGUAAAGUAAUGCACUUCCCAGCACCCAGGAAGCUAAAGAGGACCUCAUAUUUUGUUGUAUAAAGCCCAUCUUCCCAAACUCAUUCAGCCAUGAACCCAUAAAUAGAUGAAUUCACCCA